rnacentral:lncRNA from 1 species
AGAAGUCAACCCCGAGGAAGGGUGCGGCCCCGCCCACCUCCUUGUGGACGGACGCUCUGGGUGUCUCGGUCUCCAUGGGACACCUCUGGGGGAGUGAGUCUUUUCUCCUCUUCCUCACCCCUGGCCAGGGUUCCUCCUUCACUGGAAUCCCCCUGGUCUGCGGAAUACGUGUCUAAGAGGUUGUCGCGGCCAUAGUGCUGCUUCAAGAAUGUGAGCACGUGGCCUUCAUCCCAGCUGGCCAGGCCCUUAAUUUCCUCAUGGCAGGCUGGGCAGAGGUCCGGAGUGGGCCACUGAAGCUUUGGAAACCGGGGAUCCUCACUCAGAUGGCCUAGGAAGAAAAGGAAGCGGGAGAGCCAGAGGGAAGGAGGCUUUGUGCAGCCACGUGCAGCGUGCGGCAACCGGACUCCCACUCCCACCCACCACGGGCCUCCACUGCCCUGGCCCAGGGUCCUGCCAGGCCUCCCUCCCUGCCCUUCCCACCACCCGUCCCUUGCAGUUCGGCCCAGAUAACAUCCUGCUUCUGCAGGCCCCUGCGCACGUGUUCCCCUCUGCCGGUUCCCAUAGCCUGCAAGUGAGGAGACGCUACACGCUCGGCCUCCGCCACUUCCCAGACCACACCUGUCCCAAACCACCCAGCACUCCACUUCCAAAACGGAGCAUGCAGCUCUCACCUGGAGGCCUUUCUCCGCACAGUGCUGCCUGUGUGCCCCUCCCCCCACUGCUGCCCCUCUGCCCUUUCCUGAGGGUGCACCUGAGGCCCACUACCUACAGAGCCCCGGCCACCUGGGUGCUAUGGACAGUGGGCCUUAGGUGCACCUUCAGGAAAGGGCAGAGGGGCAGCAAUGAAUUUCCACUGCACUUCAGGUACACUGGCCCUUUCCGGACUACAAAUCCCUUCAAGAUCUCCAAAACUCGUUUCUGAAGUGACAUGUGCUCACUUCCAGGCCCAACAGGCAUCCGUCAUGCAGAAGCUGCGGCGCACGGCGCCUCCUAGCUCUCGGAGCCCCUGCGACCCGACUUGCUGACACCUGGCCACCCUCACAGAGCUUCCAGAAGUGAAUGUAAACACAACCACGUUUGUCUGGGGGACUUGAGACGUGCCUGAAAUCAAGAGAUGCCCUACUCGGGCCAGUCACUGACUGCGUGCUUAUCCGGCCAACCGGCAGCAGGUGCUGCACACGAAGCCAGAGGGGACAAGCACAGACCAGUGGCACCUUGGUCAGAAGCUGCCAGAGCUUCAUGUAGGACUGUCAAAUAAGGCGCCAGCCCUGGGCAGAAGACCCCAGGCACAUCUCCGAGGGGCCUCCCAGGAGCUUGGGUCUCAAUGCACAGGCUGGAGGUGGGACUGGAGUGGGAAUCUCAGGAGUGACAAUCACACUGGGCUGUAAGGCCCCUUUCUGUUGCAGUCUCAUGACUGGGGUAGUGGGGGCACAUGCGGGCUGGGGCCACAGGUAGCAGCAGGGGCUCCAGGUCCAGGCAGGCCUGGCGAGGGUCCUGGUCCCACUGCCUCAGAGCCGAGGGCUCGGGGAAAGCACAGGGAGCUCUGUGGGCGGCGGCGAUGCAGAGGCUGCCAGGGCGGAGAGACGGAGAAGCUGCGCUGACCGAGGGAACAAACCCCGCAGACACACAGCGCCUUCGUCACAUGACCCCGGCCCCGGCAGUCAGGCUCAGGGCAAAGAAAAACCAAUUUCUUUAGUGCUUCAGCUGUAAUAUGUUUUUCUAACACAGUGGAUUAAAUAAAAACCAAUAGUUUAGUGGCAUUUUCUAUUCAUCUCUAUUAAGAUUUCUCAGUGGAAUUAUUUUUAAGCCUAAUUUUAAUCUGCCACUGAUUUAGGAACAGUUUGAAGUACUUAACUCUGAGAAAAUACAUGUGCCCUAUUUAAUUAUUUUUUUUUAACAAAACAAAGCACUUUGAGAGGUUUGGUUUACGUUUGGACAACAGAUUUCCAUACUACUAAAAUUCCUCAUCAAAAAUUAAUUACGUUCCAAGCUUUCCAGAGUCAAAAACAUCUUCAGAGUCUAACGGGCUACCAGUGGGUACCGAUGGGGGAAGAAAGAGCCACACCCAUUUCCACGGGGUCGAAGAGCCCCCGGAGUGAGAGAAGCAUCUAGAAAGCCGGGGACAGAAGCAGCCUGGGAAAGGCUGCAGCUCUGGCAGCUCUCAGCCACCCAAGUCCUGAUCCCGUCAGCACAGUGGGUGGCACGAGGCCGCAAAGCUCAGGGACAAGCCCCACGGCAGCCGUGCCGUCCUUGCUGUCCCAGGACCAGGGCCUCCCUCCGCCCGUGCUGAGCCCCCCAUGCCCAGGGGCUUCUCACCUGCCAGGCGGCCGUUCACCAUAUUAUGCUUCUUCCACAGCCAGAGGAUGGCUUGGUCUGGGGUUUUCACCGAGUCCAUGGAUUCUUUAGCCAUUUCCUCAAAGUGCUCACCACAUUCCUUACACCCAAAGAAGGUGUGAACGUACCUCCUCAUUGUCUGCAGCACAGCCUGGGGGUCGUCUUCAAAGCCUGCAGGGGAAGAAACACUGCUGACAACGGCAGGUGCGUGGGCAUCACCUGACCCCACGCUUGUCCAGAGAGCCUGGGGGGAAACCGCUCCUGACAUGUCGGGAAGCCACCUCAUGUCUCCCCAGGGGCCUCAGGCUGUGGGCACAGACCAGAAGCCAGCACCUGCCAAGAUGUCCAACACGCCCACGGGUGCUGCAGGCUCUGGAGACACAAUGACUGUGGACAGCCCAGAGGGCGGACAUGCUCCCCAGAUGCCCUGGUGCCAGGAGGAUGAGCCACGGACUCGGCCGCCAGGGCCCAAAGGAGCCCUUCCAGGGGCGCCUCCCACCUCCCACCAGUCUUCCAGCCGUCUGUGCCAGAACGCCCGGAGUGCCGCUCUUCCCCGGGAUUUGCCAGCUGGGUGCAGUCUCUCUUGCCUUACAAGCAACUCUCAGGGGCUGGUACCAGGGCAAUGACUCUGCUCAUUCUAAACCUGCAGCUGUCGCGUUUGAAAGCCCUGCAGGACACCAGCCCAAGUGGGGACACGGCCUUAGGAAGUGACUCUUAAGCUGCCGCCAGCCACGGGCGUGAGGAUGUGGAGCAGGUGGGCAGGCACAGGGACGGGUGCACCCACAGCCAGAGUUUGUGCCACCGAACGUAUUAACAGACAUGGACAGGCCGGGGCGCUUCCGCAGAUACUGUGAAUGAACAACACACAUCUCAAGAAAGCAACACCUGCCCACAGGUGGCAGGAAGCAGCCAGCACCGCAACCAAGGGGAACCCCUGAGAAAACCAAGGGGGCAGCAUGGGGCGGGGCUCGGCAGUCCCCACUCAGACGACUGACACAGGAGCUUGAACGCACAGAUAGGAGACCCAUGAGAUUAAAACAGAUUACAUGUCAGCAUUAAAAAAAGACAUGCUUUCGCGAAUGAAUCCGUCUUCAUCGACAGCAGGCCCUGGGGGAGCUUCCCGCGUGAGUGCAGGCCUGACGCUUGUCGUGGCUCCCUGCAAAACACAGCUGCGUGCAGGCCCUGACCUCAGCGUCCUGGUCGGUCCCAAAUCCCGACACUUCUUGUUUAUUUCACCCAGAAAGGUGAGAGCAGAGCAGAGCAGACCACCUCCUCCUCAGCCUUGAGCGUGUCCACGGGCAGCUGGGCGGUGUCUCAGAUGGGACCGCAGGCGCUGGCCCUGUGACCCGGCCCGUCUGCCCUGCUCUCCUGCCGGGAGGGCUCCACAGACAUCUGCCUUGCAUCUCCACGUAAUCCCCCUCCUCUUCCCCACAUCACCGCAGGCGCGGGGCCACCCUAAUCUUUAAAGUGGACAAGAACCAUAAACCUCUACCUGUGGGAGGAUUAGAGGCCUUCACAGGCAUUUUACUAGAUAGGGCUUAAACAUACAGUAAAGAGAAGAAAAACCUUCCAAGACUUAAUCCCGUGGUCGCCUCUGACCCAAUUCUCUUGGCAGGAGGCUACUCCUGGAGGCUGCUUCCAAUAUGCUGAUGGGCGGAAGGAGCGCUGAGGGUCUUGCUAGCAGUGUGCUUUGCCAUCACACUGCUCUUACAAUUCCACUACACUAGGGCUGGUCCUAGAAGAGUUUAAAAUCAAAUACCCCGGUCACUCAACUUCUCCCCUUGGCCAACACUGUACCCACACUGCCUUCAAGGAGCCGUUCCUCAUGCCUGCGUGUGCCCGUGUGAUCAGAGCAGACGGAAAGGGGGAUGGCAUGUCAGCUCAUCUCCUCACCAGAACUUUCCAUGUGUAAACGUGAGGUUUCCUAACUCAGGCUCACGCUUCAGAAGCAGUUUUGUUGUGUUUUUUUUUUUUUUUUUUUUUUGAGACAGUCUUGCUGUUGCCCAGGCUGGAGUGCAGUGGCAUGAUCUUGGCUCACUGCAACCUCCAGUGCUGGGAUUACAGGUGUGAGCCUUGUGCACAGCUCAGAAUCAGAUUUACAUGGUCUGGCUGGGCAUUCGGUCGGAAUCAGGUUUGCAUGGUCUAGCUGGGCAUUAGAUCAGGCAGUGUGGAUGCUGUGAUUUCAAUUUCUGUUUGGACAGCUCCCAAGGUUUCUCCCCAAAAACAUACUACUCUUUUUUUCUGUAUGAUUAUGAAAAGGAUUUGAGGUUAAAACCCACCCUCUCCCCCAACCAGACCCCCGAGAAGCAGUAAUCCAAUAUCACCUUGAGGAGGGCCAAAACAGAUUUUCAGAAGGCCACUAUAGUGCCCCCAUCCCGGGACACUCUCCCAUUAACAGGUGGAAUCUAUUUCUCUCACCACGAAUUUAGGCUGGGUCAACAGGAUGCGGCAGAAGUAAUAAUAUGUGACUCCACACUGAGGUGGACUCUCAGGGGGUCCUGCCUGAACCUGGUGCUACUUGGUGGGGAAGCCACGUUCAGGAGUACGAGGCAUUCCAAGGUCCCCUGGACUGACCAGCUGCCACCAGACGAAGGCAGACACACACGAGUGAGCCCAAGCAGCAACUCACAGAAGAACCGCCCAGCCGAGCCCAGCCCAAACUGCUGAUCCACAGCAUGAUAAGCAAACAGUGGUGGCUGCUUUAAGCCCCAGCAUUUUAGGUUAGUUUGUUAUGUGGCAAAAAAUAACCGUAAAGGAAUUUGAGAAUCUUACUGGAAAGAGCGUUGAACUGUGUGAGUCAAGACUCCACUUCGGCUUUGAAGUAAACAUUAAUGAACCUGAAUUACUGCUUCAACUGGGAAGCACACACACAACAAAAUUCAGGGGGGAUAAAAAAUCCAAUACAUACUUUAGUGUUCUGUGAAGGACAGAAAAUUUGUUUUUAUCUAUUUCCUAGUAAUUGAAAAUUAUUAAAUCCAACUUCGAAGUUUUAUAGGUUUUAACCCCUUGUGGUGGGCAGCCUCUGCGACGGUCCCCACAGAUCACACCACCUAUACUCACGCCUCCUGUAAUGUCCUCCCCUUGCGAGUGGCCUGGGCCUGGGGACUGACUAGUAAGCAGAAUCUGACAGAGGUGAUGGAAUAUCAUCCUCGGAUAGGCACCCUCUCACUGGCUUGCUGAUGAGGCUUGCUGCCAUGAUGUGAGCCGCCCGAUGGAGAGGCCCUGAGCGUGGCCUGCAGUCAACAGCCAGCAUGGAGCUCAGGGCCUUAGGCAAGCCACGUGCAAGGAGGCAGGCCCUGCUCUCUGCCCCAUGAGGGUGCUGGGAAGCCACUCUCCCCAGGUGGGCCUUGGGUGACCCCCCAGGCCCAGCUGACACUCCGACUGCAGCCUGACCAAUCCUGAAGAAGAGGACCCAGAUGAGGCCAUGCCCGGCCCUCAGAAACCAUGAGCUCAUAACCGUGCGUGGUUCCCGUGGUUCUGGCUGCUAAAUUUUGGGGUGAUUUGUUAUACAACAGCUGAUAAUGAGAACACCUCUCCAAACAGAUUUCACUUAUUCUGUCUUUUUAAAGCAAAAAACAGGGAGUUUACACUGCAGGGAAACUCCCAGCCAGCACUCUUUCUUCUUUAUGGUUUAUUUCCUGCACGUUAGCCAUGCACAUCCUUGCGAGUUCUGACAAGGGGAACUCGUGCCCCCGCAGCCACAGCCCUGGGUGAGCUGACCGUGUGAGAGGAGUCUGAAGUGCCAUUCCCCUGCCUCAGUGGCCUGGCGACAUGCUGCCUCCCAUACAGCAGUACAUGCCUUUGCACACACCGGCUGGGUUAACUUGUUAGGCAGACCAUCGGCCCCUCUGGCCUGUAUGGGCACAGCUUACCUGUGCCAACCAGUGCAUCUGGGUGGGUCGAGGCUUCAACAGUCAAAGUGUGGAACAGUUUCCAGAGAGAACACGGGUAACCCCUCAA